rnacentral:rRNA from 1 species
CCUACGGGCGGCAGCAGUCGAGAAUCAUUCACAAUGGGGGAAACCCUGAUGGUGCGACGCCGCGUGGGGGAAUGAAGGUCUUCGGAUUGUAAACCCCUGUCAUGUGGGAGCAAAUUAAAAAGAUAGUACCACAAGAGGAAGAGACAGCUAACUCUGUGCCAGCAGCCGCGGUAAUACAGAGGUCUCAAGCGUUGUUCGGAAUCACUGGGCGUAAAGCGUGCGUAGGCGGUUUCGUAAGUCGUAUGUGAAAGUCGCGGGCUCAACCCGCGGACGGCACAUGAUACUGCGAGACUUGAGUAGUGGAGGGGGAAACGGAAUUCUCGGUGUAGCAGUGAAAUGCGUAGAUAUCGGGAGGAACACUCGUGGCGAAGGCGGGUUCCUGGACAUUAACUGACGCUGAGGCACGAAGGCGAGGGGAGCGAAAGGGAUUAGAUACCCGUGUAGUC